GACGUUCUCUCUGGAGCUUUUCAAGAGCCCUUACAUAUGGGAAGAUGCAUUCGGGCAAGCUUGAGAAAGCGGGCUCGCUGACGCUGUCCCGAGGGAUGAGCGAGGACCAGUCUCUGCGGCACAUUAUCAGAGACGCAGAGGAAUCGAGCAGACACCUGUCACGCAGCGAUAGCAGAUAUGGAUCAUUAAAACGAGGACAAAGACAAGAAAGCCAUAGUGAAGAUGAUCUGCUUUCUGAAAACAUAGAAACU